UCAUCUUCUCAAAUCUCUCUGUGGGCGGAGCGAAGUGAGAGCCAAGCCAGCCGAGCCGACCCCUCUCCUCUUCCCCUUCCUCGCAGCGGUUCGCGAUUUGCCCCUUCUCGCUCCAUCUCUCUUUCUCAUCCCGUGCUUCCACCGAUAUGCGCAGCCAACGGGAUUUAGCGCUAUGAGACAACUGCUCGGCGAAGUUCGUUCCCAUGUUGCCGGCGUGUUUAAUCGGGUGACUGCAUGCAGGGCCGGAUGUGAAGCCUCCAAAAUCGUUGGUGCCCCCCGUUCCACCUGAGUGAGCGCGUCCGCCGGAUCCCGUCCUGUCCUCCCCUCUCUCUCUCUCUCUCACAUUUCCUCGUCUCGUUCUAAUUCUAUGGAGUGCAUAUGCAUGCAGGCGGAUGUGAAGCCAAGUCGCUGGCACCCCGUUCUAGAACACCAGAUCCGGAGUGCCGCCGCCGGUUCCUGUCCCCAUCACGCCCGCGUCAACGACCGCCAAGUUGCUGGCACCCCGUUCCAGACCACCAAAUCUGGAGCGCCGCCGCCGGAUCUCGUCCCCAUCACACCUGCGUCAACGACCGCCGCGGAACCCUCCUCGGCUCCUCCUCCUCAAUGAUUCACGGCAAGAACCGGGACAGCGCCGUGCCCUUCCCCGUCUCCAACACUACAGUGCUCGCGUCGUCGGUGCUGUCGUAUUUCAUUAUCAUUCGAAUAUGUGUGGAUUUGACCCCUUCGUUGCCUUCCCAUCAUGUUGUGUUCAUUCUUUUCUGAAUCUGAUUCUCAUACCUGGUGCGAAUCUUCUAUAAAUCGUUGUCAGAAUUUGUUCCUUUGAUCCCGGUUAUAAUUCGUUGAAUCGCCCUCGCGGAUCCCGUUUGGGUGAGGAUUAUUGUAUGGUUUUUUUACUACACUACAUAUGUUGGUAAAGCAUUUACCUAAGUUAUGGAAAAUUCAUAAUUCAUCAGUUAUUUUAGAUAAUACUAAAAAACAAGAUAGAGUAAGAUACAGAAGUGUAAAAGAAAGUGGAUUCAUCAGAUGAUACAUGAGUCCCUAAUUCUGAAUCAAGAGAUUUGUUGUGGAAUUUGUCAAUUGAGUAAAGUAAUAAUAUUAAGAACAGAUCAUCUAACCCCAUUGAAUGAAAAAAUGAAAUUCGAUUUUCAAGGAAAUUUUUGAAUAAGAGAUAAAUAAACAAUUGAAUUUGAAAAAAAAACUUCUUUCUAUUUUGGAUAAUUUCUUUUUCAAUAGGACCCUCUUUUUGGAGUGAACGAUCGAAUAUUCCCCUAUUCCUUCUUAUUUUAACUGAUUGUAUUCCAUA
rnacentral:lncRNA from 1 species